GUGAUAAAUCGAGCGUGUCUCAUUGACCGCUCACCCUUCUCACAUCCCAUACACCUGGUGCCAUGUUAGCCUGAGCCGGUUUUCGGUCCAGGUUAUCAUUCAUACAAACUCUAGUCUUAUGAAUGUAAACGUUUUAAUAACAUAAUAA
rnacentral:misc_RNA from 1 species